rnacentral:rRNA from 1 species
GACGAACGCUGGCGGCGUGCUUAACACAUGCAAGUCGAACGGAAAGGCCCUGCUUUUGUGGGGUGCUCGAGUGGCGAACGGGUGAGUAACACGUGAGUAACCUGCCCUUGACUUUGGGAUAACUUCAGGAAACUGGGGCUAAUACCGGAUAGGAGCUCCUGCUGCAUGGUGGGGGUUGGAAAGUUUCGGCGGUUGGGGAUGGACUCGCGGCUUAUCAGCUUGUUGGUGGGGUAGUGGCUUACCAAGGCUUUGACGGGUAGCCGGCCUGGGAGGGUGACCGGCCACAUUGGGACUUGGGUACCGCCCCGACUUCUACGGGAGGCAGCAGGGGGGAAUAUUGCACAAUGGGCGGGAGCCUUAUGCAGCAACGCCGCGUGCGGGAUGACGGCCUUCGGGUUGUAAACCGCUUUCGCCUGUGACGAAGCGUGAGUGACGGUAAUGGGUAAAGAAGCACCGGCUAACUACGUG